rnacentral:rRNA from 1 species
CCUACGGGUGGCAGCAGUGAGGAAUAUUGGUCAAUGGGCGGGAGCCUGAACCAGCCAAGUCGCGUGCGGGAAGAAGGUCCUGCGUAUUGUAAACCUCUUUUGCCAGGGGACAAAGGCGGCCACGGGUGGCCGUAAGUGGGUACCUGGAGAAAAAGCAUCGGCUAACUCCGUGCCAGCAGCCGCGGUAAUACGGAGGAUGCGAGCGUUAUCCGGAUUUAUGGGGUUUAAGGGGUGCGCAGGCGGCGUGUCAAGUCAGCGGUAAAAUGUCGGGGCUCAACCCCGGCCGGCCGUUGAAACUGGCGUGCUUGAGUUGGAGAGAAGUAGGCGGAAUUCGUGGUGUAGCGGUGAAAUGCAUAGAUAUCACGAAGAACCCCGAUUGCGAAGGCAGCAGACCGGCUCCACACUGACGCUGAGGCACGAAAGCGUGGGUAUCGAACAGGAUUAGAUACCCCUGUAGUC